rnacentral:rRNA from 1 species
CAUCCAGACUCCUACGGGAGGCAGCAGUGGGGAAUAUUGCACAAUGGGGGAAACCCUGAUGCAGCGACGCCGCGUGAAGGAAGAAGUAUUUCGGUAUGUAAACUUCUAUCAGCAGGGAAGAAAAUGACGGUACCUGACUAAGAAGCCCCGGCUAACUACGUGCCAGCAGCCGCGGUAAUACGUAGGGGGCAAGCGUUAUCCGGAUUUACUGGGUGUAAAGGGAGCGUAGGCGGUUCAGCAAGUCAGAAGUGAAAGCCCGGGGCUCAACUCCGGGACUGCAUUUGGAACUGUGUGGCUGGAGUGUCGGAGAGGCAGGCGGAAUUCCUAGUGUAGCGGUGAAAUGCGUAGAUAUUAGGAGGAACACCAGUGGCGAAGGCGGCCUGCUGGACGAUGACUGACGUUGAGGCUCGAAAGCGUGGGGAGCAAACAGGAUUAGAUACCCUAGUA